UGAGUUGUAUGACGCUUGGCUCGGAAGCCAGAGGUCGUAGAUUCGAGUCC
rnacentral:tRNA from 1 species